rnacentral:rRNA from 1 species
CCUACGGGUGGCUGCAGUAGGGAAUCUUUCACAAUGGGCGAAAGCCUGAUGGAGCAACGCCGCGUGGGGGAAGAAGGCCUUCGGGUUGUAAACCGCUUUUGUUAGAGAGGAAAGUGCUGGAAAGUAAUUAUUCACGUUUCGACGGUAUCUAACCAGAAGGCCACGGCUAACUACGUGACAGCAGCCGCGGUAAUACGUAGGUGGCAAGCGUUAUCCGGAUUUAGUGGGCAUAAAGGGAACGCAGGCGGGGUAUUAAGUCUGAGUUGAAAGCCGUCGGCUUAACCGGGGUAGUGCAUGUGAAACUGGUAGACUUGAGAGCGUAAGAGGAGAGUGGAACUCCAAGUGUAGCAGUGAAAUGCGUAGAUAUUAGGAAGAACACCAGUGGCGAAAGCGGGUUUCUGGGCUGUAACUGACGCUGAGGUUCGAAAGCGUAGGGAGCAAACAGGAUUAGAUACCCGUGUAGUC